rnacentral:rRNA from 1 species
AUGGGGGAAGGUGAUGGAGAUGUUGGUGAAGACGACGGAGGUGUUGGUGUAGAUUGUGGUGAUGAUGAUGGCCCUGGUGGCACUCCGGCGCCAUCGGAAGCGAGGGGGAGAGAGCCCCCCUCCUUCUUAUUCCUUGACCUUCUCCCUAGGUGGGAGAAGGGUUUCCCCUCUGGUCCAAUGUCUCCAUGGUGUGGGAGGGGCGAGAGCCCCUCCGAGAUUGGAUCUGUCUCUCUGUCUCUCUCUGUUUUUGUGUUCCAGAUUCUGCCCUUUCACCGUUUCUUAUAUUCCAGGAGAUCCAUAACUCCGAUUGGAUUGAAACUUUGA